UCAACUGUGGAACUGCCUUUCAUACUGGCAAGCUAGAGUCCGGAAGAGGGCAGUGGAACUCCUAGUGUAGAGGUGGAAUUCGUAGAUAUUAGGAAGAACACCAGUGGCGAAGGCGGCUUACUGGUCCGGAACUGACGCUGAGGUGCGAAAGCGUGGGGAGCAAACA
rnacentral:rRNA from 1 species